rnacentral:lncRNA from 1 species
CCCAACCUUGCGAGAAGGAGCCUCCUCUACCCUUCCCUACUUCCGGCUUCAAGAAAUGUGACGUAACUGCCUCUCCUUAGUUUAUUCCUUCCUCCAUGGUACUGACUGUGCUG